rnacentral:rRNA from 1 species
GUGGGGAAUCUUCCGCAAUGGACGAAAGUCUGACGGAGCAACGCCGCGUGAGUGAAGAAGGUUUUCGGAUCGUAAAGCUCUUUCGUUAGGGACGAACGUGCUCUUUGUGAAUAAUGAGGAGUAAUGACGGUACCUAAAUAAGAAGCCACGGCUAACUACGUGCCAGCAGCCGCGGUAAUACGUAGGUGGCAAGCGUUGUCCGGAAUUAUUGGGCGUAAAGCGCGCGCAGGCGGGAUAUCAAGUCUGUCUUAAAAGUGCGAGGCUCAACCUCGUGAGGGGACGGAAACUGGUAUUCUUGAGUGUCGGAGAGGAAAGUGGAAUUCCAAGUGUAGCGGUGAAAUGCGUAGAGAUUUGGAAGAACACCAGUGGCGAAGGCGACUUUCUGGACGAUGUCUGACGCUGAGGCGCGAAAGCUAGGGGAGCGAACGGGAUUAGAAACCCGAGUAGUCC